UACGGAGGAGGCAAGCGUUAUCCGGAAUUAUUGGGCGUAAAGCGUCCGUAGGUGGCUCUCUCAAGUCUGCGGUCAAAGACCGGGGCUCAACCCUGGAAAGGCCGUGGAAACUGGUGAGCUAGAGUGCGGUAGGGGCAGAGGGAAUUCCCAGUGUAGCGGUGAAAUGCGUAGAGAUUGGGAAGAACACCGGUGGCGAAAGCGCUCUGCUGGGCCGCAAC
rnacentral:rRNA from 1 species